GAUGAACGCUGGCGGCGUGCUUAAUACAUGCAAGUCGAGCGAACAGACGAGGAGCUUGCUCCUCUGACGUUAGCGGCGGACGGGUGAGUAACACGUGGAUAACCUACCUAUAAGACUGGGAUAACUUCGGGAAACGGGAGCUAAUACCGGAUAAUAUAUUGAACUGCAUGGUUCAAUAGUGAAAGACGGUUUUGCUGUCACUUAUAGAUGGAUCCGCGCCGCAUUAGCUAGUUGGUAAGGUAACGGCUUACCAAGGCAACGAUGCGUAUCCGACCUGAGAGGGUGAUCGGCCACACUGGGAGUGAGACACGGUACAGAGUCCUACGGGAGGCAGCAGUAGGGAAUCUUGCGCAAUGGGCGGAAGCCUGACGGAGCAGCGCCGCGUGAGUGAUGAAGGUCUUCGGAUCGUAAAACUCUGUUAUUGGGGAAGAACAAAUGUGUAAGUAACUAUGCACGUCUUGACGGUACCUGAUCAGAAAGCCACGGCUAACUACGUG
rnacentral:rRNA from 1 species